AUACGUAGGUGGCAAGCGUUGUCCGGAUUUAUUGGGCGUAAAGCGAGCGCAGGCGGUUCUUUAAGUCUUAUGUGAAAGUCCCCGGCUCAACCGGGGAGGGUCAUUGGAAACUGGAGGACUUGAGUGCAGAAGAGGAGAGUGGAAUUCCAUGUGUAGCGGUGAAAUGCGAAGAUAUAUGGAGGAACACCAGUGGCGAAGGCGGCUCUCUGGUCUGUAACUGACGCUGAGGCUCGAAAGCGUGGGGAGCAAACAGGAUUAGAUACCCUGGUAGUCCACGCCGUAAACGAUGAGUGCUAAGUGUUGGAGGGUUUCCGCCCUUCAGUGCUGCAGCUAACGCAUUAAGCACUCCGCCUGGGGAGUACGGCCGCAAGGCUGAAACUCAAAUGAAUUGACGGGG
rnacentral:rRNA from 1 species